rnacentral:lncRNA from 1 species
UUUUUGUGUAUGUUAUGAGCAUUUAACAUUUUAAUAGAGAGUUAAAUAUAAAUCACUGCUUUAUAUUCUCAACCUCAAGUCUUUCCCUCAGCUAUUUCAUGAUAAGGGAGAGCAGAACACUCUGAAACCACUAAAACCAUGCAAAUUUUCUUAUCUACUUAAAAGUGCUAACUGCACCUCCACAUUCAAAAUGAAAUUUAUAAGCUUAAAAGCUAUUGUUUGAAAGCUCCACCCAGUACAGAAACCAAAAAAAGUUCUAUGCAUACAAAUAUAUCCUACUUUUUAAGGACUUCUGAAGCCAUGAGGCCAUCUGUUCCUUGACACAAGCUAUGCAGGAAUACAUUCUAAAAACAUAGCUUAAAAUAAGCCUCAGACAGAGUAAUUAAAAGUAAGGGGAGUGCGAUCAAGAAUUCAAGAAAAGAGAGGGAAGAAAUCACCAUAUUCUGCAACACAAAAUAACAGGGGAACAAGUGGAAGUGCUAUGAAGAGAAGAGAAUCUCUUUUGUGUAUGCUCCAAAAUACAAUCAUCAGUAGGUGGAGACACCUCUAGAAGAGAGAGCAGACAAUACUUUCUGAAGGGAGGGAAGGACUGAGACAGAAGUGGUCUGAUCAAUACCCAGAAUAUUCUGAACUCAGGUGAUACUUUAAAUGGCUUUUUUGUUCAAUGGCAUGUUAACUUCUAUGGCAAGGAUCCUUUAGAAACGCUAACAGUCAUUUUGUAAUUUAUACACUGAGAAAUUGGAAUUUUGUAUAUCCUCUACCAUACUGCAAGGAUAUUAAGGGCCCAGGUUCCCUUCGAAUACACCAGCUUGGACAUUUAUGUCCAAGUAGUUUUCCCAAUUCCUUAUCCAGUAGGAGAUUUAGGAAAGACCAUGCAAUACACAAGCAAGACUAAAGACAUUCAGAACAAGGGAGAAGGAAAAGGUCUAACAGAUCAUGCUGCCAGGGAGCCAAUGGCAAUUUCUGAAUGGACAAGCACCGUAUUUGCUUCACUAGAAGCAACAUGAUUUGAGUCCAUUAGCACAUGGCCUGAAAACAUUCUGCUAAUGCAGAAUUCAGGUUUCAUGUUUCAACUUGUUUGCAUUCCCUCCUCAUUCCCCAGCCAAAAAAACAGGGGGAGACUUUUGCCUCCCUGAGCGGCAGGGGGACUUUCGCCUAAAAAA